UACGAAGGGGGCUAGCGUUGCUCGGAAUCACUGGGCGUAAAGGGAGCGUAGGCGGGUUUUAAGUCAGGUGUUUAAUCCCGGGCCCAACCCCGGACAGGCACUUGAAACUGGGAAUCUUGAAUAGUGGAGAGGUCAGUGGAAUUGGGGUGUAGCGGUGGAAUGCGCAGAUAUCAGGAAGAACACCCGUGGCGAAGGCGGCUCUCUGGGACGGUACUGACGCUGAGACGCGAAAGCGUGGGAGCGAACAGG
rnacentral:rRNA from 1 species